AGAUACUAAAAGCUAUAGCCUCCAAAACUAAAGGACUUGGCUGUGACUUAGUCCAGUYAGAGGAACCUGUUCAAUAAAUGUUAAACCACACAGAAUCUUACCUGUCCUUUAGUUUGUAUACCAUCAUUAUUAGAUAACUCUGACAGGAUUACUUAUUCCAGCAAUAAGUUAUAUUUAUAUAUUAGAUCAAGGUGCAGCCCAUGGGAAGCUUCCAGUGGGUUACAAUAAAAUUUAUUUAUACAAAUCUAGGGUUUAAACACCCCAUUGAAGGAGAAUAUAAUAGUAAAACUGAUUUAUUAAGCCAUUUUGAGAGUUGACCUAAGUCGAGUACAUAUCGCCCGUUGCUUUCAUUCCUAGAUGAAAUAAUGUUGUAACAUA
rnacentral:rRNA from 1 species